CAGCCGUAAACAAUGUGCGUUAGGUGUGUCGGUAACCACGCGUUACUGAUGCGCCGAAGAGAAAUCGUGAAACGCACCACCUGGGAAGUACGGUCGCAAGGCUGAAACUUAAAGGAAUUGGCGGGGGAGCACCACAACAGGUGGAGCCUGCGGUUUAAUUGGAUUCAACGCCGGACAUCUCACCGGAUAAGACAGCUGAAUGAUUGUCAAUCUGAAGGUUUUACAUGACUAGCUGAGAGGUGGUGCAUGG
rnacentral:rRNA from 1 species